UAAAACAGCGAUGUGAAUUAGAUAGAAUUAUAGAGUUUGAUCCGAAUAGAGUUUGUAUUUGCGCUUAUUGUGCUCAUUAAAAUGAAUAUGCAGGAAAAUCUGCUUAAACAAUGAGAUCAUAUAAGAGACUCAAUCUGGCAUGCAGUACAUUUAUUGCAACAAAUCAAGUUAGUUGUAUUUCAAAGUCGUGUGAAAUGACUGACAACGGUGGCAAGAGCAAAAAAGCUAGAUUAGCAGACACAUCACAUCGAAUAUCAGACCCGCAAUUUUCGAAUGGUUCGGAGCCCAGUCAAAGUAUGGAAGUGCAUUGUUUGCAAACAGGAAGACGUCCACAAAGGCCAAGACGCGUGAUUGAUAAAUCGGGCGAACGAAAUAUUAGUUUUUCCAAUUUGCCACAACGGUCGAAGCGAUACAUUCAGGAUUUUGUUACGACAAUUAUUGAGACCCGUUGGCGUAUCGUUAUAUCGGCAUAUCUUUUUAUAGCUUUCGGCUGUUGGAUCAUCUUCGCAAUGGCUUGGUAUUUGAUUUCUUAUGCACACAAUGAUUUAGAGUUUGACGUUGAAAGUGGAAAUCCAUUGCACGAAGGUGAUAUGCCGUGCGUUGAGGGUGCAACGAACUAUGUCGAAUUUUUUCUUCUUAGUUUUGAAAUACAGACAACCAUCGGUUUUGGCGAGAGAUUCCCGAACGAAGAGUGUCCGGAGGCUGUAUUUUUAUUUGUAGCACAAAUUGUAUUUGGCAUUGCCAUUGAUGGCACAUUGAUUGGUAUCAUUUAUGCAAAAUUAACACGGCCAUCACGCAAGCCAUAUGAUCUUAAAUUUAGCCGGAAGGCAGUAAUUUGCCAACGAGACUCAAAGCACUGCCUAAUGUUUCGAGUUUGUGAUCCAAACGAAAUUCAUAUAAUUGAUUCCAGAGUGCAAGCAUGUUUAUUUGGCGAAAUUUCAUCGAAUAAUGGUGAUAUAUUAAAUCAGUUUCAAUAUCCACUGAAACUUCAAGACAAUGGUCGUGUUCACAUCAUUAUGCCAGUGAUCGUUUGUCAUGUAAUUGAUCGUAAAAGUCCACUGUAUAAUCUCUCUGCUCCACAGUUUUUAGAGAAAAGAUUUGAAAUAAUUGUUACGUUCACUGGUGCAUCAGCAUCGACUGGACAAACAACAGAAGAACGUACAUCGUAUUUGUCACGUGAAAUUGCAUGGGGUCAUCGAUUUGUCAAUAUGACGGAAUAUAAGGCAGAAAGUGAAAAGUAUUUUGUUGAUUAUGAUAAAUUUGAUGUGAUUGAAGAGGUUGAUACACCGCUAUGUAGUGCGCAACGAUUCGAUGAAAUCAGCGAAAAGGUGAAAAAUCAUUUUCGCAAAGAUAGCCAUUCCAGUAAUAUCUAACAAAUGUAUCAAUAACUAAAAAUUACACAAAAUUCCAAAACUAAAAUCGAAAGAAAUAAGGAUAUUCGCAAAGAUGUAAACAAAACGCCGAAUUGAAUUAGUGUUGCCAUCGUCCAUACAAUGUGCGCGCCCAAUAAAUUUGACAUUUGUAUGACUGAACGUUUUGGUGUUG